GACAGAGGGUGCAAACGUUGUUCGGAAUUACUGGGCGUAAAGCGCACGUAGGCGGAUCGUUAAGUCGGGGGUGAAAUCCUGGGGCUCAACCCCAGAACUGCCUUCGAUACUGGCGAUCUAGAGUCCGGAAGAGGUGAGUGGAACUCCUAGUGUAGAGGUGGAAUUCGUAGAUAUUAGGAAGAACACCAGUGGCGAAGGCGGCUCACUGGUCCGGUACUGACGCUGAGGUGCGAAAGCGUGGGGAGCAAACAGG
rnacentral:rRNA from 1 species